rnacentral:piRNA from 1 species
CAGUGUGGAAAAGACUAAAGAGUGC